GUCUUGUUGGCUUGAGAUAUAAUCUCAACUGCCCUCUUGCCUUCACCGAACACUCUCCUAAUUUCAUAUCUUCAAAAUGAUGAGUCCUGCCCAGUUCCUGUUUCUGCUAAUGCUCUGGAUUCAGGGAACCAGUGGUGAUGUUGUGAUGACCCAGACUCCAGUGUCUUUGUCAGUUGCCAUUGGACAACCAGCCUCCAUCUCUUGCAAGUCAAGUCAGAGCCUCGUACAUAGUGAUGGAAAGACAUAUUUGAAUUGGUUAUUACAGAGGCCCGGCCAGUCUCCAAAGCGACUAAUCUAUCUGGUGUCCAAACUGGACUCUGGGAUUCCUGAUAGGUUCAGUGGCAGUGGAUCAGAGACAGAUUUUACUCUUAAAAUCAGCAGAGUGGAAGCUGAUGAUUUGGGAGUUUAUUACUGCUUGCAAGGUACACAUUUUCCUCACACGGUGAUACAGACACUAACAAAAACUUUCUUGCAUGGUGGAGCAGACCAGCUGGCAAUGUGCUGCUUGACUGCAAAGCAGAGUUCUCUGUCUCUGUGUGAGUGGGAGUGGCUGGGGAACUUGAAUAAUUUUUUUGCAGUUGAGAGCUCUAGCUAA